rnacentral:rRNA from 1 species
ACGUGGCGGCGUGGAUCAGGCAUGCAAGUCGAACGAAUCCCAGCUUUGUAGUAAUACCGAGCUGGGGAAAGUGGCGAAAGGGGCAGUAAUGCGUGGGUAACCUACCCCGGGGACCGGGAUAGCCACCCUAACGGGUGGGUAAUACCGGGCGAUGUAGCGAGAUCGCCUGACCUUGCUAUGAAACGAAUUUCGCCUCGGGAGGGGCUCACGUGGUAUUAGCUUGUUGGUGGGGUAACGGCCUACCAAGGCGAAGAUGCCUAGCAGGUGUGAGAGCACGACCUGCGCCACUGGCACUGAGACACUGGCCAGACUCCUACGGGAGGCUGCAGUCGAGGAUCUUCGGCAAUGGGCGCAAGCCUGACCGAGCGACGCCGCGUGCGCGAUGAAGGCCUUCGGGUUGUAAAGCGCUGUCGAGGGGGAGGAAAGCCGCAAGGUCUGACCUAUCCCUGGAGGAAGCACGGGCUAAGUUCGUGCCAGCAGCCGCGGUAAGACGAACCGUGCAAACGUUGUUCGGAAUCACUGGGCUUAAAGGGCGCGUAGGCGGGUGGCCAAGUCAGGGGUGAAAUCU